rnacentral:tRNA from 1 species
GCGGGAUUAGUAUAACAGUAGUACACCGGUCUCCAAAACCGGUAGCAGAGGCGCGACACCUCUAUCCCGUG